UGAGUGGAAUAGAGCCAAGGAUGACUUGCCGGCAACUGCAGCAAGGCAUAGGGUUUAACUGGUCAUAACUGGCAAGCAUCUGAGGCUCUAUUUCACCCUCU
rnacentral:pre_miRNA from 11 species